rnacentral:pre_miRNA from 1 species
UCUUAUGGAUGAACAAAGAAAGUGGUUUUGGAAAUGUAAUCUAUUUCUGGUGAAGAUACUGUGAA